rnacentral:rRNA from 1 species
UGCAAGUCGAGCGAAUGAUGAAGAAGCUUGCUUCUUCUGAUUUAGCGGCGGACGGGUGAGUAACACGUGGGCAACCUACCUAGUAGAUUGGGAUAACUCCGGGAAACCGGGGCUAAUACCGAAUAAUCCAUUUUGUCACAUGGCAAAAUGCUGAAAGGCGGUUUCGGCUGUCACUACUAGAUGGGCCCGCGGUGCAUUAGCUAGUUGGUGGGGUAAUGGCCUACCAAGGCAACGAUGCAUAGCCGACCUGAGAGGGUGAUCGGCCACAUUGGGACUGAGACACGGCCCAAACUCCUACGGGAGGCAGCAGUAGGGAAUCUUCCACAAUGGACGAAAGUCUGAUGGAGCAACGCCGCGUGAGUGAUGAAGGUUUUCGGAUCGUAAAACUCUGUUGUAAGGGAAGAACAAGUACGUUAGUAACUGAACGUACCUUGACGGUACCUUAUUAGAAAGCCACGGCUAACUACGUGCCAGCAGCCGCGGUAAUACGUAGGUGGCAAGCGUUGUCCGGAUUUAUUGGGCGUAAAGCGCGCGCAGGUGGUUUCUUAAGUCUGAUGUGAAAGCCCACGGCUCAACCGUGGAGGGUCAUUGGAAACUGGGAGACUUGAGUGCAGAAGAGGAAAGUGGAAUUCCAAGUGUAGCGGUGAAAUGCGUAGAGAUUUGGAGGAACACCAGUGGCGAAGGCGACUUUCUGGUCUGUAACUGACACUGAGGCGCGAAAGCGUGGGGAGCAAACAGGAUUAGAUACCCUGGUAGUCCACGCCGUAAACGAUGAGUGCUAAGUGUUAGGGGGUUUCCGCCCCUUAGUGCUGCAGCUAACGCAUUAAGCACUCCGCCUGGGGAGUACGGCCGCAGGU